UUAAACCUGAAGACACACCUGCUCUGUUCAUGUGAGCUGAGGCUGACACACAGGCCGACACCCUUUUGCUCAUAACAGCGUGUGAGUGUCUGUGAGGGCGAAGGUGUGUGUUCACUGCUCUCCUCUAAGAGAAGUCCUCUCUGCAAACAGAAAAAGAUUCAAACCGACGGAGGGGCGACUCUGAAAAGCAAAGGAUCUGAUCCUCAAGCCAUUAUACUCCACUUGCCUUUUGUCAAAAAAACACCCCAAAAAAACCCAAGCAUCAUGGGAAAAGGUCAGAGCGAGACGUGGGAUGAAAAGCAGCAUGACACGAGACAAACUCAGCCUCGGAAACAAGAGAACACCGAGAGUAGAAGCUCAGGGAGCAAGUGUCCCAAGUGCUGCUUGAAAACAAGGGACUGUCUGAUGAGCGCGGAGUGCGGGAGGGCACUUCAGAUCUCUCAGGUGGUCGCCAUGUGUGGAAUGUGCAUCCGCUGGUUCGUAUAACCUAACCUUGGCCAUCAGGACCAGCUUUUACCAGACUGUGUUGAUUCUCAGCAUCCCCCAGCACCCUUCAGGAGAGUCGUGCCAUAUGGUUUUCUUCUCAUGUGAGAUGAAAAAUGUCCACUUUGGGUCCAUUUCAUCAGCUAAAGCUCUCUUUAACCCUCUAUCCUCAAGUUAUUUAUUUAACAUGAACAAUUCACGGUCUGUAUAGAAAGACAAUCAUGAUGAAUGAAUGGAUGAAUGAAUGUGACUUUGGUCUGCUUAUCUCUGUGGAAGGUUUAUCUGGAUGUCUAUCUGAUUGAUCAAUAUGAUGAAGGCAAUCCAGAUGUUUAUAUUUAUAUUUAUAGUUAAGCAGUUUUCAAUAAUAAUAUAAAAUAACUGUAAUAGUAUGAUAGUAAUGAAAAAAAGUUAACUUGACGCAACCCAGUCGCCAGAGAAAAUGUUGGCAUUUUACAUUUCUGCAAACCACGGGAUGCUGUGAAUGUCAAUGUUUCUGAACAUAGCGUGACAACGCAAUGUGACAACGCAAUGUAACAACGCAACGUAACAACGCAAAGUAAUAACAUAGCGUAACACAACAACCGCAACAACGUCACUAGUGUGAAUAAAUAACUGCCCUAAGCUGACUUUCUUACAUAAAGUUACGCAACAACCGUAACAACCGUAACAACGUUACCUAACAAGCGAUAACUCACUUUCGGUUUUCACACGGGACACGAACAGUGGUCUCCUGGGUGAAAGUCCAGUAUUUGUUUGGCCCAUACACCACCUCUCCCAUCCGCCCCAGAAGACUUUCUCGCUUGUUAUACUCUUUAUUAAACCACGCAACUUUCAAUAACGCUCACUCGUUGUACUAUAUCACUGGCUCUGCCCAAAUGCAAAACCGUCGACAUUCAACAUAUCCCUGGUUUGCAGAAACGUACAACACCAACAUUUUUUCCUGGCGACUGGGCUGACUUGACGAUGUGCAAAGGAAUAUAUUCUACAGUGUACCUUCAACAUUUUCUCUUAAAAUAUGAGAAUGAUGACCGAAAAGUAGGGAAAAACUGUGACAUCUGAUCUAAUGAAAAACUGUAAAUAAAGCUUUCUGUAACAGCAAG